CGACGUAGGUAACCUGCCUGGUAGCGGGGGAUAACUAUUGGAAACGAUAGCUAAUACCGCAUAAGAGUAGAUGUUGCAUGACAUUUGCUUAAAAGGUGCAAUUGCAUUACUACCAGAUGGACCUGCGUUGUAUUAGCUAGUUGGUGGGGUAACGGCUCACCAAGGCGACGAUACAUAGCCGACCUGAGAGGGUGAUCGGCCACACUGGGACUGAGACACGGCCCAG
rnacentral:rRNA from 1 species